rnacentral:rRNA from 1 species
GACGAACGCUGGCGGCGUGCUUAACACAUGCAAGUCGAACGGAAAGGCCCUGCUUUUGUGGGGUGCUCGAGUGGCGAACGGGUGAGUAACACGUGAGUAACCUGCCCUUGACUUUGGGAUAACUUCAGGAAACUGGGGCUAAUACCGGAUAGGAGCUCCUGCUGCAUGGUGGGGGUUGGAAAGUUUCGGCGGUUGGGGAUGGACUCGCGGCUUAUCAGCUUGUUGGUGGGGUAGUGGCUUACCAAGGCUUUGACGGGUAGCCGGCCUGAGAGGGUGACCGGCCACAUUGGGACAGGGAUACGGCCCAGACUCCUGCGGGAGGCAGCAGUGGGGAAUAUUGCACAAUGGGCGGAGGCCGGAUGCAGCAACGCCGCGUGCGGGAGGACGGCCUUCGGGUUGUAAACCGCUUUCGCCUGUGACGAAGCGUGAGUGACGGUAAUGGGUAAAGAAGCACCGGCUAACUACGU